rnacentral:rRNA from 1 species
CAGCAGCCGCGGUAAGACGAACCGUGCGAACGUUAUUCGGAAUCACUGGGCUUAAAGCGCGUGUAGGCGGGAGGGCACGUCCGUCGCUGAAAUCCCCCGGCUCAACCGGGGAACGGGCGCGGAUACGACUCUUCUGGAGGAACGUAGGGGGACCUGGAACUUCCGGUGUAGCGGUGAAAUGCGUAGAUAUCGGAAGGAACACCUGUGGCGAAAGCGGCUCACUGGACCAUUUCUGACGCUGAUGCACGAAAGCUAGGGGAGCAAACAGGAUUAGAUACCCCCGUAGUCCCUGUCUCUUAUA